CAUACAAUUAAGAUUCCAACCACACAAUUGGUUAAACUUUGCUAUGUUUAAUUAUGAAGCAACUAAUAUUUUAAACAACAAACAAUGUGAAACAGAUCACUUUAUGAUUAUUUUAUGUGCUUACUUCCCAAUAUUUCAUUCUGACAGGUAUAGUAAACACAUGCAAGAAAAAGUUUUAGCAACCCUACGUUUUAUUGAUAUUACAUUGAAAAUAAAAAUUUCCCAUUGUGCUCCAAUAAGUUGCAAGAACAGGCGAUGAGAUACUGCAGCUUUGAAAUUGGAUGGGCUAUUAAAUCACAUGCAUUAAAUUUAUAAGCAGAAAUACAACGGCAGUCUGGUUUUUGUGGUGUUGGAAGAGCUAAAAAUUUAGCAAACUUAACAAGAAUCAAAGAGUUCAUCAGAGUUACAAACCAUGGAGAAUACAAAUUCUAGGCCUUCUACCAUUAAGUGAUGAGACUGCAAAUCCACAAUUUCACAAGGUACUAUUGACUAAACAUAGAUGGGGGAGGGGAGGAACAGGAUGAUGAUCUCAAAACAUACAUGAUCAAGCUCUCCCAGUUCAAUUUAUGUUCACACCAAAUAAAAAUUUAUUAAUUAACAUAGCACCAUAAGAUAAGAAAGUCACGUAGGGCAAAUAUAUUUAUAACAAUUUCACACAUUCAUUGAAAAUAUAUAAACAAACUCAACAAUGUCAUAUUUUCA
rnacentral:misc_RNA from 1 species